AUAAUGAAGCCGGGAAACCGGUCCUUCUAACCCUUGAUUAUCUUAAUUUGUUGCUUUGGUGGGCCGCGCAAGCACCGGCUUCGGCUGGAUCGUGCCCGCCAGAGGACCACAACUCUGUAUUAAAUGUCGUCUGAGUACUAUAAAAUAGUUA
rnacentral:misc_RNA from 1 species